AAUUGUUUCUCUCUUGAAAUAUCAUAAGCCGUUCAUUAAAGGCAGAAAACCUGAGAGAGAAGUUUCUGAUAAAAGGAGAUCGUCUCUUUUUGUCUAUGAAGAUGAAGAGCAGACCACUGAGCCUCAAAUUCAAGUUAUAAGAUCUAGCAGUCAACUUCUCUUUGGACUGGUGAUGAACAAAACCACCUUUCUCAUGCGAACCUAAUGCUAUCUGAGGUUAUAGCGGCCCAUGUCUCAUUUAUUGUGUCCACAAACCUGGAUUACCCUAAGGGAGGAGGCGAACUAGGAUUUCUUCUUCAGCACCAUGUCUGUUGUAUAAUGGAUGCUGGCUCUAGAACCAAAGAAGAAUCCAGAUUUGAAAAACUGUUGGAGAAAAUGGACUCAACCGUUCCAAAGAUUAAAAGAUUAAAAAGGUCUGAACAAUAGAGACAACGUCCUCACUCCUCAGUCCACUGUGAUUUGAAGGUCUCCCGCUCUCAAGCACAAUUCGAUAAGAGUUUUGCCAAUUACUCCAAAGCUAACAAUCACUGUUUGUUAGCUGGCGAUAAAAUCUAAGCCCAAGGCGUUGCGACACUUUAAGUCGACCCUGUCAAUUCAAUAACAUGCAGAGUAACAGGCAUCUCAAUGAUUUAACCAUCAAAUCCUUCAAUUAAAAAGUGAAUAUCUAGAGCUGAAGCUAAGAGUUUUCCUAUACAAAAGUUCCUUUCAAAGUUUUGUUUAAAUUAUAAGUAGUUAUCAAAUCAAAUGCUCAUUUAAAUAUUUGGCACCCAAAUUGAAAAUUGA